GAUGAACGCUAGCGACAGGCCUAACACAUGCAAGUCGAGGGGCAGCACGAGGUAGCAAUACUGAGGUGGCGACCGGCGCACGGGUGAGUAACACGUAUGCAACCUACCUGUAAGAGGGGAAUAACCCGGAGAAAUUCGGACUAAUACCGCAUAACACUGCCAUACCGCAUGGUAUAGCAGUUAAACAUUUAUGGUUUACAGAUGGGCAUGCGUAUGAUUAGAUAGCUGGUGAGGUAACGGCUCACCAAGUCAACGAUCAUUAGGGGUUCUGAGAGGAAGGUCCCCCACACUGGUACUGAGACACGGACCAGACUCCUACGGGAGGCAGCAGUGAGGAAUAUUGGUCAAUGGGCGAGAGCCUGAACCAGCCAAGUCGCGUGAAGGAAGAAGGUUCUAUGGAUUGUAAACUUCUUUUGUAAGGGAAUAAAAAGAGUUACGUGUAACUUAUUGUAUGUACUUUACGAAUAAGGGUCGGCUAACUCCGUGCCAGCCGCCGCAGUAA
rnacentral:rRNA from 1 species